rnacentral:rRNA from 1 species
UUGGUGGCGACCGGCGCACGGGUGAGUAACGCGUAUGCAACCUACCUAUCAGAGGGGAAUAACCGGCGAAAGUCGGACUAAUACCGCAUAAAACAGGGGCACCGCAGUGGUGAUAUUUGUUAAAGAAAUUCGCUGAUAGAUGGGCAUGCGUUCCAUUAGGUAGUUGGUGAGGUAACGGCUCACCAAGCCGACGAUGGAUGGGGAACUGAGAGGUUGGUCCCCCACACUGGUACUGAGACACGGACCAGACUCCUACGGGAGGCAGCAGUGAGGAAUAUUGGUCAAUGGGCGGGAGCCUGAACCAGCCAAGUCGCGUGAAGGAAGAAGGAUCUAUGGUUCGUAAACUUCUUUUGCAGGGGAAUAAAGUGCAGGACGUGUCCUGUUUUGUAUGUACCCUGAGAAUAAGGAUCGGCUAACUCCGUGCCAGCAGCGGC